AAACCUGAGAAACUCAAAAGAUCGAAUGGGGAGAUUCACCGUCAGCGGCAAUGGCUUCCGUGUGGCUCGCGAUGUCCGGGACUUCGGUUCCGUGGCACGCGGUCGCUGCGGUAUGUCCGGUGUCGUCGGCGUGCACUUCUCCCCUAGUAGGACGUCGCGACCCGUUGGGUGUCGGUCUACGGACUGGUUGGUCGACUGUCGCGUCUCGUUCACGCGUGUACGCGGCAGACCACCGGAUUCCCGGCCGGCUGCCCGGCGGUAUAGAUCGCUAUAAAAUGGUAUUGAGCCGCAUUAAGUGCGUUCAGGCUCGUCGGCAGGCUCGUCUCGCUCGGAUUUACGGACCUAGCGCCGUUGCCGGGUGCUUGGCGCGGCCGUUAGUCGACGAUGUCCUCGGACUGGCUCUUAUAUUCGAACGGAUAUACCGGUCGGCGACGCUACUGCUUUGGGUACUU
rnacentral:rRNA from 1 species